GAUGAACGCUGGCGGCGUGCCUAAUACAUGCAAGUCGAGCGAACAGACGAGGAGCUUGCUCCUCUGACGUUAGCGGCGGACGGGUGAGUAACACGUGGAUAACCUACCUAUAAGACUGGGAUAACUUCGGGAAACCGGAGCUAAUACCGGAUAAUAUAUUGAACCGCAUGGUUCAAUAGUGAAAGACGGUUUUGCUGUCACUUAUAGAUGGAUCCGCGCCGCAUUAGCUAGUUGGUAAGGUAACGGCUUACCAAGGCGACGAUGCGUAGCCGAGCUGAGAGGGUGAUCGGCCACACUGGAACUGAGCCACGGUCCAGACUCCUACGGGAGGCAGCAGUAGGGAAUCUUCCGCAAUGGGCGAAAGCCUGACGGAGCAACGCCGCGUGAGUGAUGAAGGUCUUCGGAUCGUAAAACUCUGUUAUUAGGGAAGAACAAAUGUGUAAGUAACUAUGCACGUCUUGACGGUACCUAAUCAGAAAGCCACGGCUAACUACGUG
rnacentral:rRNA from 1 species